AAGGUAGCAUAAUAAAUUGUUUUUUAAUUGGAAACUGGAAUGAAUGAUUUAAUGAAACUAAAACUUUCUUAAUCUAUUAUUUUAAUAAAAUUUUAUAUUUUAGUUAAAAAGCUAAAAUAAAAUUAAAAGACGAGAAGACCCUAUAGAUUUUAAUAAUUAAUUAUAAAUUUAAUAUAAAUUUAAUAUAAAUUAUUUGAUUGGGGUGAUAAAAAAAUUUAAUUAACUUUUUUAAAAAUUAAACAAAUAUUUUUGAAUAUAUUUUUAAUAAUUUAAUUUUAUUUAAAAUUAAAUUACCUUAGGGAUAACAGCAUUAUUUUAAUUUAAAGAUGUUAUUUAAAUUAAAGAUUUUGACCUCGAUGUUGGAUUAAGAUUUAAAUUUUAUGAAGUUAUAUUAUUUUUUAGUCUGUUCGACUAUUAAAAUCUUACAUGAUCUGAGUUCAGACCGGUGUGAGCCAGGUUG
rnacentral:rRNA from 1 species